GCAAAGUUGGUUUAGUGGUAUAAUUACCGCCUGCCAAUUACCAUUGGUAUACAGCUCGCGGUAGACCCGGGUUCGAUUCCCGGACUUUGCA